ACCUUCUGUGUUGUAGUUGGUAGCGCCUUGGCUUAGUAAUGACAAGUCCCAGGUUCAAGUCCUGGUAGGGGUU